CUCUCUCUCUCAUACAAGUUACAAAUUCUGUGUUGCCCAAUUCCCCUCUCUCUCUCUCUCACUAUAUUUACAGACUCACUCAACAACAGUUCUUUCCCUUUUACUUCUUCUCCCGUGACCCCCUUCUCUCUCUUCUGUCUCCAUCUCACUUAUAACUCUUAUAAUUACACUCCUCUAACGUGUUCAUUUCAUUGCUCUCAUAAACCUUCCAUUCCUUCACACCCUAUCAGUACUUUCCUUUCUCCUCGGCCAACCCCUAUUUCGGUUCUGCCACUUUGCAUCACCUUCUUUCUUUUCUUGGCCUUUUCUUCAUUUCUUUUAUCGCUUGGGUUUUUCAUCUUUCUUUAUGCCCCGCACUUUAACAUGUUCGAUUCUUGUUUCUAUUAG